rnacentral:rRNA from 1 species
CGGUAUACCAGCUCUCCGAGUGGUAGGGACGAUUAUUGGGCUUAAAGCGUUCGUAGCCGGCCUGGCAAGUCUCUCGUCAAAUCCAGCGACCCAAUCGCUGGGCCGCGGGAGAUACUACUAGGCUUGGGAGCGGGAGAGGCCGACGGUAUUCCCGGGGUAGGAGUGAAAUCCUGUAAUCCCGGGAGGACCACCAGUGGCGAAGGCUGUCGGCUAGAACGCGUCCGACGGUGAGGGACGAAAGCUGGGGGAGCGAACCGGAUUAGAUACCCGGGUAGUCCCAGCUGUAAACGAUGCGGGCUAGGUGUCGGUGUGGCUACGAGCCACUCCGGUGCCGCAGGGAAGCUCUUAAGCCCGCCGCGUGGGAAGUACGGUCGCAAGGCUGAAACUUAAAGGAAUUGGC